GGAGUUUGGGCCGUGUCUCAGUCCCAAUGUGGCCGGUCACCCUCUCAGGUCGGCUACUGAUCGUCGCCUUGGUGGGCCGUUACCUCACCAACUAGCUAAUCAGACGCGGGACCAUCCUAUACCACCGGAGUUUUUCACACUAAAUCAUGCGAUUUCGUGCGCUUAUGCGGUAUUAGCAGUCGUUUCCAACUGUUAUCCCCCUGUAUAGGGCAGGUUUCCCACGCGUUACUCACCCGUCCGCCACUCAGUCAUCUCAAUUGAAUCCACUUUGUGCAAGCACUCCAUUUCUUCGGGCGAGAUGCUUCGUUCGACUUGCAUGUGUUAAGCACGCCGCCAGCGUUCAUC
rnacentral:rRNA from 1 species